rnacentral:rRNA from 1 species
AGUGAACGCUGGCGGUAUGCCUAACACAUGCAAGUCGAACGGCAGCACAGUAAGAGCUUGCUCUUACGGGUUGCGAGUGGCGUACGGGUGAGGAAUACAUCGGAAUCUACUUCUUCGUGGGGGAUAACGUAGGGAAACUUACGCUAAUACCGCAGACGACCUACGGUUGAAAGCAUCGGAUCUUCUGACCUGGUGCGAUUGAAUGAGCCGAUUUCGGAGUAGAUAGUUGGCGGGUUAAAGGCCCACCAAGGCAACGAUCCGUAGCUGGUGUGAGAGGAUGGUAGGCCACACUGGAACUGAGCCACCGUCCAGAGUACUACGGGAGGGAGCAGUGGGGAAUAUUGGACAAUAGGGGCAAGCCUGACACAGCCAUCGCGCGUGUGUGAAAGAGGCGUUCCGGUUGUAAAGACCUUUUGUUGGGAAAGAAAAGCAGCAGGUUAAUACCAAGCUGUUGUGACGGUACCCACAGAAUAAGCACCGGCUAACUUCGUG